rnacentral:lncRNA from 10 species
AUAAAAGCAGGCUGCCUGAGCCACCAGUGGCAACCCUCUGGGGUCCCCUUGCACGCUGUGGAAGCUUUAUUGUUUCACUCUUUGCAAUAAAUCUUGCUGCUGCUCACUCUUUGGGUCCACACUGCCUUUAUGAGCUGUAACACUCACGAUGAAGUUCUGCAGCUUCACUCCUGAAGCCAGCGACACCACAAACCCACCAGGAGGAAGGAACAACUCCAGAUGCACCUCCUUAAGAGCUGUGACACUCACCGCGAAGGUCCGCAGCUUCACUCCUGAGCCGGCGAGACCACGAACCCCACCAGAAGGAAGAAACUCUGAACACCUCCGAACAUCAGAAGGAACAAACUCUGGACACGCUGCCUUUAGGAACUGUAACACUCACCGCGAGGGUCCCCGGCUUCAUUCUUGAAGUCAGUGAGACCAAAAUCCCACCAAUUCUGGACACACUAGGAAGACUGAGACCCAAUUGGACCAUCAAAGAACGACCCAAUCACCAGCACAAAGCUAAUAAACUUGUAAGCUUUCAAUACAAAUAACGUUGGAACAUAGCUAGGAAGACUUCAGGAGACAGAUUCUCUUUGCAGAGUCUCUGGGAGCCUUUCUCUCUACCAUGUGGAUGCCUGCAGAAGCCUGCACAGUCAUUCUGCCACAUGCACUGUGGAUACACAGCUGAUUUACAGCUGGGCUGAAAAAGCCUCAUCUCUGUUUCUGGGGAUUCCAGGAUAUCCUGUUUUUGACUCUUAGCUAAGACGGAAAAAGUGAUGCUCACGCCAGAGAAGAGUCAGCCCAAGGUCAUCUAGGAUCAGUGGCACACCUAGGAUUCAGGCCCAAGGACCCCCAGCUGACCUGCCUUCCCUGGAACCUCACUGUGAGUUCUUUAACCAUGGCUGUGUUUUCAAAGUUGAACUGGGGCUGCUGUUGAUACCACCUUUAAAUGCCUGCUUUUGUCAUGGAGACCAUGAGAACUUCACUCUUCAGCUGGCAAUUUACCUGGCUGCACAGUGCUCAGGCACACACAGGCUUCAGGGCUACAAGGUAAAGGAUUUGCCAAGGCCAAGUGCUGAAACCCACUUCUUGUUUUGAAGCAAAUGAGAACUUCCACCUGUAUUUGACCUGGGUCAUGAUCUGGUACUUUUUUACAGCAAACUCAUACUUAACAAAUUUUAAAGAUUUUUUAAAGAAUGAACUAAUGAAUUGGGUUAGGUAAGUUUAUCUUAACCAUUCUUAUGUCCUUUAAUUUUCUGCACUUUGCUAGUAUUUUACUUUUAGAAUCCGUAGUCAGCUUGAAUCAUAUUAAUUUUCUGACAACUGAAUAAAAAAUAUUUCAAUAUUUCAUGCAUCUUGUUUAUUUGUUUGUUUUGGUAGUUUUUUUUAAGAAAGUGAAAGUAGUUUAAUUUAGAGAGAAGCCAUGGAAACCGGGAAACAAAAAUGAGAUUGUGAUUGGGAAGGAAGGGAUCGUCAUCAAUAAAAUUGCUUUACUAAGCAAGUUAUUGCUGGAGGUGACAAAACUUUGAUCCCACUAGAGCCUUUAAAAGCCAGUAUCGAACACACUGUUCAGUAAUGCCACUCAAAUGAGCAGUGCAUUUAUUUAUUCAUUCUUUAUCAGUCAUUUGGUUGGUAGUAUGUUAUUAAUUCCACAGUAAUUCUGACUUGCCACUUGCAUGGACAAAUUGGGUUCCAGCUGCCAGAAAAAUCCUUCAGGCAAAGGAUGCAGCUGCCACCAGUUGGAAUUCUAGGGGAUACUUGGUCUUUAUAAUUUCUGAGUACAUAAGCAUCUACUAUAUGUGCUUAAUACAAAUGAAUGCCAUUUUAAUGUACCUUAAAAUUUCUAAGCAAAUACAUGAAAAGCAAUGUCUAAUUUCUUGCUUAUUUUCAAGGUAUACAGAUAACUCUGUUAUAUUCAGAAAGAGCAGGGACCUGAAAAAAAAAAUCUGUGUUAAAGUCUCAUAUGAACUAAAAAGAAAAAGUAAUUUAUUCUUCUGCUACUUCUCUUUUCAGUAAGGGUGGUUGCCUUGUCUUGCUCAUUGCAAGAAUGAAAGCUGUAUAAGUUGAAUGAAAAUAUAAAUAUGACUUUGAAGGUGGGUAAGUCUUACCUUCCCUUCUAGCAGUCUCUGAAGUUGCUUGAACAAUGGCUUAUUUUAUUAUUAGUUGGGACUCUUUGGUUGCAAGUAAUGGAAGUAUACUUGAACUAGAUUAGCAAAAAUGUAAGGCUUGUUAUAACAUUGCACAAGCACAGAACUCGCUGCUGGCUGGUAAGAUAUAGGACUACUGCAUUAUGGGGAUUUUUGAAUUCUAAUCUACUAGAGGGACCAUUGUUUUAAAAGUUCUUUAGAAGUUAUUCUUGGAACUACUAUUUAUACACGAAAGAAUGUGGAUGGAUCUCAAAAGCAUUAUGGCAAAAGACAGAAACAAAAGGCUACAUAUUGUUUCAUUCCAUUCACCUAACAUUUUAAAAAGCACAAAACUAUAGCAGUAAAAAUGAAUCAGUGGUCCCCAGAGACUAGGGGUAAAGGAGCAACUAUAAAAAGGAGACUUUUGGGAUAAUGGAACUAUUUUAAAUAUUGACUAUGGUUGUGGUCACAAGACUGCAAAACUGUAUACAGUUAUUAAUAUUUAUAGAACAAUACACUUCAAAAUGGGGGAUUUUAUUGAAUGCAAAUUAUACCUCAAUAAACCUGAUUGCUUUUUAAAAUAUAUAUAUAUAUAUAAAUAUGAAAUAGAUUAUUUUUAGUAAGUGACUAGAAAAAGGGCAAGCAAAAUAAUCGGUAACUUAGUAGGCAGCAAAUUAUUGUUCAUUUAUUUAACUCAGGUUUUAGAAAGUCCAUUGUGAAGCUAGUAAAAGAUUGUGAUUUGAAUUAUUUCUCAAAUUAUAGAUGAUUUUUAAUGAAGACAACAGAUAUACCUAAUAAAUUAUUUUUAAUUGAUCCAUGGAUACUAUCUUAUCUUUAUUCACACUUAGAUAUAAGAAAACACUAAAGAUAGACUUAGCAUGUUUCUAAAAUUAAUUUCUCUAAUUUGCAACACAGCACAUAAUAGUCAUGAUAAUUAAGCCAACUGAUAUCAUAAUUUAUGAUUACUUCUUGUCAGAAACUGUGAUAUUAUUUCCAUUGAGUAGGAAGUGGGGAGUGGGGCAAUUAAACUUAGUGCUAGAAUUAUUCUCCUUUUAAGCAUAAUUCAUCAAAAUCAAGAGUGAGCUUCAAAAUGACCAGUAAUAAAAGUAGGAAGAGAGAUGAUUUUCUAUAAAGUGCAAUUUAUGGAUUCUGGAUUCACAGAGAAAAUAAACACAUAGUGAAUUAGGUAAAAAUAAAAGAGGUAAAAUAUCCUGCAUGUAUUCUAUUAACAAGAUCAAAAGAAAACAAAAUUUACAUUACCGUAGAGAUCUUUAUAGCACCCCGUUUGUUAAAUUGAUAUUGUUGUGUUAAAAAAUUGACACAGACAUAUUAAUGGCUACAAAGAAAGAAAUAAAGAACUCCUUCUCACUUUUAAAUAGAUUCUGGAUUCUAGAGGAUAGUCCACACUUUCUUGUGCAAUUGUUUAAAUGUUGAAAUUGCUGACAUUAAGUGUGUAUGCAUUUACAUGUUGAAAUGCCACACAAAGGGUUUAUUAAUUUACUCUUUUUAUAAGCAAUGUAAGUCCUUGGUCUCUACAGUCUUAUCAAUAUCAAGUAUUUUGUACAUUACUGAUUUUGCCAAUUUAGUAUAUGAAGAAAAAGCCCACAAUAUAAUCUUUAUUUUGUUCAGUGGUAAGCAAAGUUAAACAUAUGUUUUUUAAAAGUCCCAUUUUGCGUCUUGAUUUCAAAUCAUCUGGUCAUAUUCCCAAAUAUUUAUAUGUUGCAUUCUUUGAUUUUUAUUCAUUUAUGGAAAAGUUUCGGGGAUAAAGAAGGAUUAGUAUUUUCUGUGUUCCACAUGGCUGUUCUAGACCAUUGAAACUCCUGUCCACAUAGUGUCUUAUUUUUUUUAAUAGUUUCACAUAGAAAGUAUGUUAAUAUACAUGAUCUUUUAAUUAUUUCCACAUAAAAGGUAUUUAGAAUUUAUCAUUAUUAUCAUCAUUUCAACUUUAGACUUAAAUAAACUGAACCUCAAAGUGGUCAAUGACUUGACCGAGUCCCAAGUAGAAAUGAAGCUGAUUUUCUGGCUUCUUUCGUAUUUUUUCAAACUACAUAUAUUCAUUACAUUUAUUUUACUAACAAAGUAUUGCUUUAUCCUUUCUUAUGAACCAGCAUUUUUAUUGUUUUUUUAAUUAAAUUUAUUCUUAUUAAUAAAAAAACAAGUCAAUUCCUUGGAAAUUUUUGCCGAAACCUGUUUUACAUUUCAAUAUCUCCAUAAUUGGCCAUAGGCUUUAAUGACAUUGAACUCCUUCUUUCUCUGUUGCUUCAGGCUUGUCCAUAGAAGUAAAUAUUCGCAUGAUUUUAACUUUCCAAACUGGCCCGAAAUAAUUUGUCUUAACUAUUGUCAAAUUAUUACCCACUUUGUAAAGCUGUGUUCAGUUUCUUCUCCUCAAUGAAAACGUUCAUGGUCAUAUAAAAAUAUGAUUACAAUUUUUCUCACUCUCUGAGUUACCUUGUAUUUUAUAAUAUUUUCAUGUAAGAAAAUGAGCUGUCCAUUUUAAAUGUCCAUCAUAAUUCUUCAAAUAAUGUUUAUAAAAUUAUACUCACUGGCUAGUAAUAUGCAGUUUGGCAACAGAAUGAGACUAUAUACAAAUUAAUAAAGUCAGUUGUUGGUCACAGUUAACAAUAAUUUUUCAUAAGCUUGGAGUUGAGGAAAUUCAAAGGCACUCAGUAUUUUUUUAAAUUAAGAAUUGCAAGAAGAAAGAGACAGAAAAUGAGUAUGUUAUUCAAAAUGAAAAGAUCAAUGCAAUCAUCCAAACCCAGUUAAGACUGUGUAACAGUGCAAAACAAGGUGUUUCUAAUAUUUCUAGAAUAUCACUGUCUUUCCCUUAUAGUAGGCUCAAGAUUUCUUUAAAUGACGUAGGGAAAGUAACUUUCCAUCGGCAAGACAGAAAAUAGCUAUUGGGAGAUUAGGGUAGGAGACGGAAGGAAAGCAAAGGGAAGGGAAGGGGAGGGGAGGGGAGGGAAGGGGAGGGGAAGGAGAAUGGCAGGAAAGAACAAGAAAAGGAGGGAGAAAGAACUAAGAAAGGAAGAGAGGAAGGGAGGGGAGGAGAGAGAGAGGAAAAGAGGAUGAAAAAUGAGAGGUGGAAUAACAGCUAGACAGGAAAGGAGAAUGAGAAAAGUAAGACGCAAACAGGGAGAGCAAAAAUUAAAGUAACCUAGAUGUGGCAGUCAAGAGAUUGUGAAAGAUGUGUAUACAAAAGAGGGGCCAUACCACAGCAGUAACUUGACCACAGCAGUAACUCAAUGCAUGAUUUGUGUUCCUGUAUCUUUUAAUGGCACAAGUCCUGGGACCUUUGAUGAGGCUCUGUCUAAUCAUAGAAGGACUCUGCCACCAGAAUAACCUAGUUUGCAUAAACUUUCCUCGUGUUUUCUUUCACUCCGCUAUCCAGACUGUAGGGUGUGCCUUACAUUAUUUAGCUGAAUUGUCAACAGGUGUACUGAGUAAACUGUUUGAUUUAUAAAUAUCUCUGUAUCUAAUCAUGUAUCAAUUUCUCAAAUUAUGGUGUUUCACAUAUUGGUUUCUCUAAAGAUUAUUUCAUUUCACAAUUUGAGGCAGUUUUGUGAAAAGAAACAUAUACAUAUAUUUUAAUUUCUGCCUGAAAUAUACAACAUUGAAUUUCAUUCAAAUAUUUAAUGCCUUCACAAAUAAAACGUAGCUAGUGUUUCAUGUUGCUGUUUAGAAGUUUAUUGAAAUAUGGCAGAUAAAAUGCUAUAGAGAUAUUAUUAUGUUUAAUAAUUCAGUAGUUGCUUCAAAUAUGCUAUAAAGUGUUGGAAUAUGGCCAGUUAACUUUAAAAUAUAGAAUAAUAAAAUAAUUGGAUUUAAAAUUGCUUCAUAUUAUUUUUGUUUAAUAAAAAGACAAUCCAUGUCUUAGGUGUACCCUUUUAAAUCCUAUCUACUUUCUGAUUCUUAGGAUUCUUAAAAAGAAUAUUGUAAUGACUGAACAGAAAUAUUAUAUCUGAUUUUGUACUAGAAAAUUGAAGCAGCAUGGGAUCAUGGCUAAGUAAGAGCUUUAUAGCAGUAGCAAAUAGUUACAUGAUUACUGAAGUAUAGCUGUCACUGGAAAUAGAAAGCUGCAAGGAACCUAUCAUAAAAGUAGCAAUUUCAGUUUCACUAGUGUUUAAAAUUAAAGCCUAGUAAUUCAUUGUGGAUGUAUUUCCUCAAUGGUUUCAGGAAAGUAUCCUGCUUUCACUGAGCAUUUUCACUUUGUUCCUUAUGUGUUUCCUUUCAUAAUGAAAAAGUUGUAAUUUCAGAUUGGUAAAACAAUUGUUAGGACUUUGUGAACAAACACUCAAAAAGUUUUGUGUCAUGAAAUAAUGAUUAGUCAAUUGUAUUUAUUGUUAUAACACACUAUGUUAAAAAUUCACUGCCAGAUGAUCCACAUUAUGUUAGGUAAACCAAUUUAAUCAACAGUUUCCUCUUUUGACAUAUAAUUAGCUGAUGGAUGAAUUUAGAGGUGUAAAAAACCUUCAAAUAAAAGCGUUUAUGGAAAAAAAUAAUGGCUGUUUAUGGAGUUUUGCAUACAUGUGUUACUGUCUUAAGAAGCUGAAAUGAGAUUUAAG